rnacentral:rRNA from 1 species
CUUAACUGGGCGUUAAGUUGCAGGGUAUAGACCCGAAACCCGGUGAUCUAGCCAUGGGCAGGUUGAAGGUUGGGUAACACUAACUGGAGGACCGAACCGACUAAUGUUGAAAAAUUAGCGGAUGACUUGUGGCUGGGGGUGAAAGGCCAAUCAAACCGGGAGAUAGCUGGUUCUCCCCGAAAGCUAUUUAGGUAGCGCCUCGUGAAUUCAUCUCCGGGGGUAGAGCACUGUUUCGGCAAGGGGGUCAUCCCGACUUACCAACCCGAUGCAAACUGCGAAUACCGGAGAAUGUUAUCACGGGAGACACACGGCGGGUGCUAACGUCCGUCGUGAAGAGGGAAACAACCCAGACCGCCAGCUAAGGUCCCAAAGUCAUGGUUAAGUGGGAAACGAUGUGGGAAGGCCCAGACAGCCAGGAUGUUGGCUUAGAAGCAGCCAUCAUUUAAAGAAAGCGUAAUAGCUCACUGGUCGAGUCGGCCUGCGCGGAAGAUGUAACGGGGCUAAACCAUGCAC